GGNCACUAGGUGUGGGGGACAUUCCACGUUUUCCGCGCCGUAGCUAACGCAUUAAGUGCCCGCCUGGGGAGUACGGCCGCAAGGCUAAAANUCAAAGAAAUUGACGGGGGCCCGCACAAGCGGCGGAGCAUGCGGAUUAAUUCGAUGCAACGCGAAGANCCUUACCAAGGCUUGACAUAUACUGGACUGNNUCAGAGAUGGCGUUUCCCUUCGGGGCUGGUAUACAGGUGGUGCAUGGUUGCCGUCAGCUCGUGUCGUGAGAUGUUGGGUUAAGUCCCGCAACGAGCGCAACCCUCGUUNUAUGUUGCAGCACGUGAUGGUGGGGACUCAUAGGAGACUGCCGGGGUCAACUCGGAGGAAGGUGGGGAUGACGUCAAAUCAUCAUGCCCCUUAUGUCUUGGGCUUCACGCAUGCUACAAUGGCCGGUACAGAGGGUUGCGAUACUGUGAGGUGGAGCUAAUCCCUAAAAGCCGGUCUCAGUUCGGAUUGGGGUCUGCAACUCGAC
rnacentral:rRNA from 1 species